ensembl:lncRNA
GGGGACUUUAGGUCUAUGUCUAAGCUUAUGAAGGGUUGUUUGCCAUCUGUUGGCUUUUGUAUAAAACAGAGACUCGGACUACUAAAUUGACUGCUAAAUUAUUAUCCUUAUGAAUCUGCCUGAAGACGUGUUUGUGUCGCUUAUCUGCUUAUACCAUUGGUCUGCUCCAUCUAGUCAACGUUCUUACUUUUGUUUUUGUUUUUUGCGAAAAUCUAAGAAGCCCAAAAUGUUACUCUCCUAUGUUUACUGCGAUACUUUUUAUUUCUUUGUAAGAUUUGUGCUUACCCUGCAUAUUUUCUGCCUUUCCUCCUUGUAUGAAAUGUUAAUGUGGAAUUAGCAGAAUUAUCAGUACUUUGAGACCCACGCUUACGCAAAGCAAAUGAUGCAAACGAUAUCGCGUAGAACAUUUAUGAAAGCCAACUGUACCCUCACAGAGCCGUCAGCCACCUCUGUGCCGUCACGGACUGUUUUCUACUAGGAAGAGAUUUGCAUGAGGCCAAUGCCCUGGCCUCAAAUUUCCCUGUAAGUGCAUGUUAACACUGCCUAAGGUUCCUGGUUCCUGCAGAAAAAAUCAUGUGGAAGAACAUCUUUGCACAUUUUAUAUUUUCCAAAAGCUGAUGCUGGGGAAAUACAUUUCUGCUACCCUAUAUUGUUGUAUUGAGCAAGAGUUCCAGGAGUCUAAUCUGAGGUAAGGUUACUUUUUCUUUUGAAGUUUAUUGAUGGUGUUUUAUGGGGCGGUUUGUAUAGGAUAGGAGUCCUAAAGUUUGAUGAGGAUGAAUGACGUUAUCGGGGCUGUUUUAAUAGUGUGCUAAAGGAGUGUCUUGAUCGUUUCGGGGAGUGGCAUUGUCUCCUCUAUCAGCUCACAUUAGUCAGAUUAUCGCUCAUGCCCUGAAGUUUGGGAGUCGACUGGUUACAUUCAGAGAGAACUUUUUUUAACUUGGCAGAAAUAUUUUGUUCAUUGCGUGUCUGCAGGGAGACAUUUGGAAUUUCUCACCUGUAAUAGUUAAUACCUGGGUUAAACAGACAGAUGUUUUCCAUUCACCUCACUCUCUAGGUAUGUUAAUGUCUUUUACUUCUGUGCUACUAUGUUUUUUGCACCCAUGUAUUUACUAUUACUAUUUCCUGAUCAGUAACGCAUUAAGACAUCGUACAGUAUGGCAGCAUCCUUAGAUGUAUUUGAUUUAUAUAUUUGCUCUUCAAUAUGAACCUUAUCUAUUAUUCUACGUUUUUGACCUCUACUGAGGAUAUUUUCAUGUUUGCCCUAUGUGAAGGCUCCAUGGUAACGGCUUUGACUGUGUGGAAAAUUUGGGCGAGACGAAAAAAAAAAACCAGCCUUCACGUCUAGAUGAAAUUUGCAUGGCAUGCUCUUACAGUACGAUUGAAGCAUGAUCACAGCUAAAUGGGCAGGAUACAUCCUGGAGCAAGCCAUAGAAUUUGGCAUUCAUGAGUUGACACACUGUUCUGCAUUAAAUUUGGUUAUGUUUAGAUGUAAACACAGUGGAGUUUUU